rnacentral:tRNA from 1 species
UUCUAAUAUGGCAGAAUAGUGCAAUGGAUUUAAACCCCAUAGAUAAAGUUUUAACUUUUUUUAGA